GGAUCGAUGAUGACACCCUCACAUGCAUUCCUUGGAAAAUCUGAACAAAAUGAGUGAGAAACUCACUACCGUCUCCUCAUCGGAAACUGAGGUCC
rnacentral:snoRNA from 1 species